GAGAAGCGGCGGACGGGUGAGUAAUGCCUAGGAAUCUGCCUGGUAGUGGGGGAUAACGUUCGGAAACGGACGCUAAUACCGCAUACGUCCUACGGGAGAAAGCAGGGGACCUUCGGGCCUUGCGCUAUCAGAUGAGCCUAGGUCGGAUUAGCUAGUUGGUGGGGUAAUGGCUCACCAAGGCGACGAUCCGUAACUGGUCUGAGAGGAUGAUCAGUCACACUGGAACUGAGACACGGUCCAGACUCCUACGGGAGGCAGCAGUGGGGAAUAUUGGACAAUGGGCGAAAGCCUGAUCCAGCCAUGCCGCGUGUGUGAAGAAGGUCUUCGGAUUGUAAAGCACUUUAAGUUGGGAGGAAGGGCAGUAGAUUAAUACUUUGCUGUUUUGACGUUACCGACAGAAUAAGCACCGGCUAACUCUGUGCC
rnacentral:rRNA from 1 species